rnacentral:rRNA from 1 species
AUUGAACGCUGGCGGCAGGCCUAACACAUGCAAGUCGAACGAGUGGCGGACGGGUGAGUAAUGUCUGGGAACCUGCCCGAUGGAGGGGGAUCACUACUGGAAACAGUAGCUAAUACCGCAUACUAUCAGAUGUGCCUAGAUGGGAUUAGCUUGUUGGUGGGGUAACGGCUCACCAAGGCGACGAUCCCUCGCUGGUCUGAGAGGAUGACCAGCCAAACUGGAACUGAGACACGGUCCAGACUCCUACGUGAGGCAGAAGUGGGGAAUAUUGGACAAUGGGGGGAAGCCUGAUGCAGCCAUGCCGCGUGUAUGAAGAAGGCCUUCGGGUUGUAAAGUACUUUCAGCGGGGAGGCGUUACCCGCAGAAGAAGCACCGGCUAACUCCGUGCCAGCAGCCGCGGUAAUUC